CGGAAUUACUGGGCGUAAAGGGCUUGUAGGUGGCCAACUAAGUCAGACGUGAAAUCCCUCAGCUUAACUGGGGAACUGCGUCUGAUACUGGAUGGCUUGAGUUUGGGAGAGGGACGCGGAAUUCCAGGUGUAGCGGUGAAAUGCGUAGAUAUCUGGAGGAACACCGGUGGCGAAGGCGGCGUCCUGGACCAACACUGACACUGAAAAGCGAAAGCCAGGGGAGCAAACGGG
rnacentral:rRNA from 1 species